rnacentral:rRNA from 1 species
CGCGUAGGCGGCCUCACCAGUGUGACGUGAAAGCCCCCGGCUUAACUGGGGAAGGGCGUCGCAAACUGUGGAGCUAGAGUGUCGGAGGGGGAUGCGGAAUUCCCGGUGGAGCGGUGAAAUGCGUAGAGAUCAGGAAGAACGUCGGUGGCGAAGGCGGCAUCCUGGACGAACACUGACGCUGAGGCGCGAGAGCGUGGGGAGCGAACG